rnacentral:rRNA from 1 species
GACGAACGCUGGCGGCGUGCUUAACACAUGCAAGUCGAACGGAAAGGCCCUGCUUUUGUGGGGUGCUCAAGUGGCGAACGGGUGAGUAACACGUGAGUAACCUGCCCUUGACUUUGGGAUAACUUCAGGAAACUGGGGCUAAUACCAGAUAGGAGCUCCUGCUGCAUGGUGGGGGUUGGAAAGUUUCGGCGGUUGGGGAUGGACUCGCGGCUUAUCAGCUUGUUGGUGGGGUAGUGGCUUACCAAGGCUUUGACGGGUAGCCGGCCUGAGAGGGUGACCGGCCACAUUGGGACUGAGAUACGGCCCAGACUCCUACGGGAGGCAGCAGUGGGGAAUAUUGCACAAUGGGCGGAAGCCUGAUGCAGCAACGCCGCGUGCGGGAUGACGGCCUUCGGGUUGUAAACCGCUUUCGCCUGUGACGAAGCGUGAGUGACGGUAAUGGGUAAAGAAGCACCGGCUAACUACGUG